rnacentral:rRNA from 1 species
GUGGGGAAUCUUAGACAAUGGGGGCAACCCUGAUCUAGCCAUGCCGCGUGAGUGAUGAAGGCCUUAGGGUUGUAAAGCUCUUUCAGUGGGGAAGAUAAUGACGGUACCCACAGAAGAAGCCCCGGCUAACUCCGUGCCAGCAGCCGCGGUAAUACGGAGGGGGCUAGCGUUGUUCGGAAUUACUGGGCGUAAAGCGCACGUAGGCGGAUCGGAAAGUUGGGGGUGAAAUCCCAGGGCUCAACCCUGGAACUGCCUUCAAAACUAUCGGUCUGGAGUCCGAGAGAGGUGAGUGGAAUUCCGAGUGUAGAGGUGAAAUUCGUAGAUAUUCGGAGGAACACCAGUGGCGAAGGCGGCUCACUGGCUCGGUACUGACGCUGAGGUGCGAAAGCGUGGGGAGCAAACGGGAUUAGAAACCCCGGUAGUCC